AGUUCCCGGGACUCAGAUCCCGGGCGUCGCCCCCGGCGGUGCCGGCCCGUCGGGGCAAGCGGCGUCACAAUAGCCGGCUAGCCGGUCUGUGGUGGCGGCGGCCGCAGACCGGGACACGAAGCGCCGCUGGCCGGGUGGGAUCCCGUCGGGAGGAGCCCACUGGCGAGACCAAAAUCCCGAAUACGCUCGUAGAGGUCCCGGGGGACUCUGCUUCGGACGCGGGUUCAACUCCCGCCGCCUCCACCA
rnacentral:tmRNA from 1 species